UUGCUAAGGACCGCGGGGCAAAGUUUUAUAAUUUUUAGAGCUUGUUUGGGCAGUUUUUGCAAAAAUGAUCAAUAAUAAGGACUAAAUUGAAAUUUUGCGUAUUGUGAUGGAUGACUGAUUUGAUGGGCCCAGGAGGGGCUGUGUGAUAUGAUUGAACUGUUGAUAUAUGGAUUGUGAGUAUAGAAGUGUGUUUUGAACCCUUUUGCAGGUUGGGUAGGUCCUAGGUAUAGGGGAGACUCUGCCGGAUUUUCGGCACGACUUAGGACGUAAUUGGUCUUUUUCUUUGUUUGUAUUGAGUCAGAUUGUAUUAAAUAAAUGUAAUAUGAUUGUCAGGUGAGCCGGGACAGCCUUCUUCCUCCGCCCAGCCGCCACAGUAAUUUGUCGUCAAGUCUGCCACAGGAGGAUAUUUAUUCUGGGUUAACCUGCUUUUAUACUUCGCAGGUUGUUUAUCGAUAUUUGUGUAAUUUUAUUUACUCCUAGAAUUUCCGCAUGUGUUAGCAGUAAUUAUUUGAAUUUGGUCUGUAAUAUUAUAUUCAUGUUGGACCUGUAAACUUAAUAUUUUAAGUCUGUUUUGAUGGAUUGGAUGAGGGAGCUGAGCUCCCAUUUAUUAUUA